rnacentral:sRNA from 1 species
GUAACCUUUGUAUGCAUAGUUUAUGUGAUGGAUCCACCACCUCCUCUUCCAACCACACCGUUGCUAAGACCAGCUCCCAAUGGAGGAGGAUUCUUAGAUACAUGCUUAUGGUUUCUGUGCUGCUGCGGUCUAUUUAGGUGCUGUUUUCCUCCCCUCUUCGAGUCAGGCCCUCCUCCACUCUAGACUCCAAAAAAUGUACUUUAGGAUUUUCAUUGUUACUGGCUAUGUAUUUAACUUUUUCAAGAGACAAUGUUGCUACUUGCUUUGUAAGAAGGCAUAAACUAAAUUUGUUUCAGGCAAAGUCUAUUUACUGUAAUAUAUCCA